rnacentral:rRNA from 1 species
GACAGAGGUGCCGAGCGUUAGGCGGAAUCACUGGGCUUAAAGCGUGUGUAGGCGGGUCGUUAAGUGCUUUGUGAAAUCCCACAGCUCAACUGUGGAACUGCUUGGCAUACUGGCGAUCUUGAGCCAACUAGGGGCAACCGGAACAAACGGUGGAGCGGUGAAAUGCGUUGAGAUCGGAAGGAACGCCCGUGGCGAAAGCGAGGUCCUGGACGCCUACUGACGCUGAGACGCGAAAGCCAGGGGAGCGAACGGG